UUUAAAUGUAACCAUAAGUUUCCCCGCACAAACUUGGUCGUCCGUCUUAUUUGAAUUUUUUUUAUAAUUAGUAUUUUUGUUGUUAUGAGAUGAUAAAACAUAAAUAGUACUUUACUCGUGACUUAUGUUUUAAAAUUUUUUUGAAAAAAAUUCAAAUAAAACGGACGAUCAAAAUUGAGCGCGGAAAACCAUGGUUGCACAUAAA
rfam:Oryza nivara chromosome 6, whole genome shotgun sequence.